ACGCACGCUGGCGGCAGGCCUAACACAUGCCAGUCGCGCGGACCUUUCGGGGUCAGCGGCGGACGGGUGAGUAACGCGUGGGAAUAUGCCCUUCUCUACGGAAUAGUCCUGGGAAACUGGGGGUAAUACCGUAUACGCCCUUUGGGGGAAAGAUUUAUCGGGGAAGGAUUAGCCCGCGUUGGAUUAGGUAGUUGGUGGGGUAAUGGCCUACCAAGCCGACGAUCCAUAGCUGGUUUGAGAGGAUGAUCAGCCACACUGGGACUGAGACACGGCCCAGACUCCUACGGGAGGCAGCAGUGGGGAAUCUUAGACAAUGGGGGCAACCCUGAUCUAGCCAUGCCGCGUGAGUGAUGAAGGCCUUAGGGUUGUAAAGCUCUUUCAGCUGGGAAGAUAAUGACGGUACCAGCAGAAGAAGCCCCGGCUAACUCCGUG
rnacentral:rRNA from 1 species